rnacentral:misc_RNA from 1 species
ACCGGAUAAUGGAUCUGAGAGAACACUUCUUAAUGAUGGUUCUUUAUUAAAGUUAUAAUGAGCAACAUAGUUAUUAUCAGGUCGAUUGCACAUUACAUCCUCCUCAGCAGAAAGGUCAUCCAUAAACUGGCUUACAGAUAUUGGCACAUAGCUUUGAGGAAUAACAUGACCAGCUGCUGCAAUCGGAGAACAAUCUAAUACGGCAUUACCCUGUGGCAUAAGCCUAAAUGCCAAUGAUGUCCUCCCACCACUGUUAGUGCCAGAUGAGUAAUCAGGUGCAGCUCUAUAUGACACAGCAGGACGAAGGCCAGCAGUAGCAUGGCUAAGUGCCUUGCCAGUAAUCAGUAAAAGAUCCCCAGGAGCUGAACCACAAUCUGCCAGGUACCAUCGACCAUUGGGGUCACAAACCUGUAGACCAGGAUUAUCUGAAGAAACCAGCGUUAACAAUCCCUUCUCAACUUCACCAUUAACUGUUGGCUUCCCUCCUCCAAUAGCCCCCUUUCCAUUUUGCAACGACACAUGGGAAUAGGUUGCAAGAAGCACUGACGAGGACACCUCAUUUGCAGGUAAGGGGGUAUCAUCAAGUAAAUGAUUGAAAACAUCGCUUCGCAAACGAAGAUGCCUUGCUAUUGCACACAGAGCAGCACGAGCUGCCUUUCCCAUGCAUCUAAAUAUUUCUGCCAUGCAUGGAGGAGAAGAAUCACAAUCUUCCAAAGCCCUUCCAGCCCUGUACAUGUAUAACCCACGGCUGCCUCCCUUACUGCCACCGCUCUGAACCCGAGUCCUAAAAAACAUGCGCGCCGCUUCCAACCCACAUCUCAUGAGCGCCGCGUCCUCACUGCCCAAUUCAAUAACCACCGCAUUAUGCCUCAUCAAGGACCCAGAAAGCGCCUCUACCGCCUUCAUGUAAGGUCCAGCCGGAGCCCCAUCAAACGGUGCUAUAUCAGAUAGCCUGACCCUUGCAAGCAUCAGCACUGGCUCACCGGACUGUUGCACAGCAGUGAUGGGCGGAGCGAUUACAUGAUCGGCAGACAGCGAUGGCAGCGGUUGGCGGUGAGAAAUGGAAUGUGGAGCAAGAGAAAGAGGCGAUUGAGUAGGGGUUGUGGGGGAUCUAAGGGUGGAAGAAUUGGGCUGUGACGGUAGUCCAGAGGAGGUCAGCGGCGGUGGCUGCAUCAUCAUCACAACAACCAUUUAUCAUUCUGAUGAGAUGGUUGGAGGGUUUAAGAAGAUGGGAAUCUUGAAUGAGCCAUUUGGUUUUGGAGAAGAAAAAGGAAAACCCAGUUGGGAUUUGGAAGAAGUGAAUGCGUGUUGGCUGAGAAGCGACUGAGAGAGCUUGAAAUUAAGGUUGUCUUUUAGAAGACGAAGACUGUAUCUGUGUGAAUAUUUUGAAGCUGAGUGGAGUUUGCUGGAGACCAAG